UGGCAAACGGGAGCGUAACACAUUGGUAACUUACCUCGCACUCGUGAAUAACUCUUGGAAACGAGAGCUAAUACGCGAUAAAGAUGGGGGGACUUCUGUCAUUCCCAUUGAAAGAUUUAUCGGUGCGAGAGAGACCUAUGGUCCAUCAGGUAGUUGGCGGGGUAACGGCCCACCAAGCCUAUGACGGAUACCAGGCGCGAGAGCGUGACCUGGCUCACUGGGACUGAGAACUGCCCAGACACCUACGGGUGGCUGCAGUCGAGAAUAUUCGACAAUGCACGAAAGUGUGAUCGAGCGACGCCGCGUGCCGAAUGAAGGCCUUCGGGUUGUAAACGGCUUUUCUCAGGGACGAAUUUUGACGGUACCUGAGGAAUAAGGGGUUGCUAACUCUGUGUACGUG
rnacentral:rRNA from 1 species